GGAAUUUACCUCAUAUAGUUACUAAAAGAACCAAGAUGAUGGAGACUCUGCCACUUUCUCUGUCUUUCAUCUGGAGCAGGUUUCCACGAAAGCAGAGGAGGAAGUAAUGGACAGGACACGGUGUUCUUAACUGCUUCUCAUUGGUCAGAACUAGUCAUGUGACACCAAUCUACCUGGAAGGGAGGCUGAAAAUAUGAGGUUGCAGAUGGAAUAUUCGGUGAGCACCAUCUUUAUCAAACUAGUGAGUGUUGGGCCAGAGAUAUAAACACAGGUCUGCUUAGGCUCAAAUCCUAUUCCAAAUUCACACCUAACCCUCUGCCACAUGUUUCUCAAAGGGCAGGGUCUCUGGGAUCAAGGUCAGGUGUCAGAGAGAGCCUUGGAUAAUGACUUUCACUCCUCAGGGCUGCUUGUUGGGGUCGACCACCAAGAGAGUCUAACAGGACCAAAUUGAAUAGAUGAAAUCGGAGCAGUCAUGCCUAGAACAAGCCCAGCACCAUGGAAUAGCAGGCAAGCCAGGGGAGCAAAAAAAGUGGGAAGGUUUUGAGGCAGAGAAAAUGUAAUCAAUAGAGAUGUCAAAGUAUAAAGGCCAGAGUAAACAAGGAUUUGAAGACAUCAAGCAGCAAUCAAUAUAGAGUAAGCAAAGAUGGAUAAAGGAGUUGGUAGAUGAAAGGCGAUUUAAGAAGCCACCAGGGACAUAUCCUACUUAUGCUGACAGCAGGCCACAGAAUCCUGUCAGUGUGCCAGUUGUCAAAACCCAUGCUAGGCAGGAAAUGUCGUGAAAGUAUCGAGAUAUUGUUUGAAAAUCCAUCAGUGACUCUAGAUUCUUGCACCAGCUGAAUCAGGCCCAUAUCUUUGCUGCAUGCCAACCUUGCUACUGCCAUAAACUAUUCACAGAUCUUCAAGUAGCUAUGCUUUUUUUUCACACCUCCUUGCCCUUUAUCAGUGGGAUCUCUUAGAAUUCUUUUUUUUGCUCCUCAUCCUUCGGGCUAAAAUCUUCCUACUUUCUUUGAAGCAAUAGGUAGCAGAGAAAGUGGUCCAAACAUACAAAAGAGGCCUUUUGUUCCCAUGGCAACCUGAGCCUAUUCCUAUCACUGUAUUUAUCACAUGAUUUUUUAACCGUUGGUUUUCUUGUAGGUAAGAGCUUUGUCGCAUAGAAGGUGCUCUGUAAAUGUUUGUUGAAUGAACAGAGCUGCAGAUUAAUUUUCUUAGGUGUCAUCACAUGGAGUUUCAGAUCGGAUCUGUGCAUUAAUUUAAGAGUGAAUGUGAAUACUAAAAGCAACCUAUGGAAGAUCAAAAUUUAUUUAUUAUUUAUCUGAUAUUCUUCAUCUGGCACAAAGCAAGACUAUAUAAUUGAUAUAUAUAUAUAUACACACACAUAUAUAUAUAUAUACACACACAUAUAUAUAUGUAUAUAUUUUAAUUGAAAUUGUUGAUCAGAUAUUAGAGAACCAAAAAAGGCAAAGUGAGGACAUGGCGGCAUACCAGUGGCAGUAAUAGCAGGAAACUGUCAAUGCUCUUAGGACUGUGGGAAUGAAGGAAAGAGGUUGGGAUUAUUUCAAUACAGACCUUAAACGAGUCAUCUCAGGAACUCGGUUCAGACCUAUGAAGGUGGAGUGUGGGCCAUCUGUGAGAGGGUACAAUGAGGCUGGUUCUGGAUAUAUGAAAAAAAACUACAGACUGCAUCUAGAAGCUGCUGCUGAGGUUAAGAAUCACUAUUGAGAUGACUCCAAAGAACAAGAAACAGUAAUUUCCUUUUGUCAUCCUUCAGUUUUACCAGCUUCCUCUAGCACUCCUUAGUGGUAGAGCCUAGCAGCCAGCAGUUGGUGAGUAGAACCAGGCUUUGAAGUCUUGGUCCCAACAGCACAGAGCUGUAUACGUGAGCAGGUUUGAAGCUCAGAGAUAAUGUCAAUAACCAGUACAGAAAAUAAAAAGAAAGCCCACCAACCACCAUAAAACAUCUGUUUUAAUUUUUGCAGCUUAACUUUCAUAUGUGAAUUCUUAUUUGCAUAUUUUCAGCAUUAUCCUAAUUUAUUUGAUAUUAAAUCAAUUAUUUUUCAUACUUCUAUAUUAUAUUUAUAGUUGUUAUGUUAAUGGUUGCGUAUUAGUGCAUUGUUUUUCAGUACCAUAAUUUAUUAAAUUGUUCCCUGAAAGUUGCACAUUUAUAUAGUUUCUGAUUUAUGGAUGUUGGAGAGAAAAAUCUUUGUGUACAUACUUGUUGCCUUCAAUUUAAUAUUCCUAGGAGUGGAAUUAUUAUUUUAAAAGAUUUGAGCAUCUUUAUGUGUUGUCUUAUUCCUCAAAAGCUGUUUAUGCUACCAUCAGCAAUAAAUGAGUACACCUGCUUAACCAGUAAAUACUGAUUUUUAAGCAUCCCAUUGAAAUCAAGGAGAAACAAAGGCAUGUAUUUUGGAGGCAAUGGCAAAAUAAGUUGUGGGGCAGGGGAUUUGAAGUUUUGCUUUUUAUUUUUUUUAGGUUUUUAUUUUUUCUAUUAUAGUCAAUUUACAUUGUUCUGUCAAAUUCUACCAUACAGCAAAGUGACCCAGGUAUACAUAUAGAUAUAUUUACACAUUCUUUUUCUCACAUUAUUCUCCAUCAUGUUCCAUCAAAAGUGACUAGAUAUAGUUCCCUGUGCUGUACAGUAGGAUAUAAUCGCUUAUCCACUCCAAAUGCAGUAGUUAGCAUCUGCUAACCCCAAACUCCCAGUCCAUCCCACUCCGUCCUCCUCCCCCUCAGCAACCACAAGUCUGUUCUCCAAGUUCAUGGUUUUUCUUAUUUGUAGAAAGAUUCCUUUGUGCCAUAUAUUAGAUUCCAGAUAUAAGUAAUAUCAUAUGGUAUUUGUCUUUCUCUUUCUGACUUAAUUCACUCAGGAUGAGAGUCUCUAGUUCUAUCCAUGUUGAUGCGAAUGGCAUUAUUUUGUUCUUUUUUAUGGCUGAGUAAUUUUUAUUAUUUCCAUUAUAGUUGGUUUACAGUAUUCUGUCAGUUUUAUACUGUACAGUAAAGUGACGGAAACAAAGCGUGGCAGAAACAAAUCCGACUAGGAACCAUGAGGUUUUGGGUUUGAUCCCUGACUUUGCUUAGUGGGUUAAGGAUCUGGCAUUGCCAUGAGCUGUGCUGCAGCUCACAGACAAGGUUUGUGUCUGGGCUUGCUGUGGCAUAGGCCGGCAGCAACAGCUCUGAUUCUGCUGCUAGCCUGAGAACCUCCAUAUGCCACGGGUGCGACC
rnacentral:lncRNA from 1 species